rnacentral:lncRNA from 1 species
UGCCCCAGGCAAGUGCCUCACGAGCGGCUUGUUGUUUUGGAGGAAGAAAGACAGAAGCUGAACUUUGGUGACUGCUGUGUCGGUCUUGUGUGAGCCUGAGUUAAAAUGUGAGUUCUCCAUAGAGCCUGGCUGCGAUCUUUUGCUGCCUGGCAAAACAAGGAAACGACAGGAUAGAAAUUCACCGAGCCUAACUCUACUGCUUCCUUUUCUUUUUCUCUCCCUUUCAUAUAAAUCACACCCUUUUGAAGCCGCUUGCUUUUCUUUCGUGGGCACAAACCCCUCGUCUUUUUAAAGUCUGCCUUUAAAGCUAAUUGUUUCAACAGGACAAGAAACUUGUAAAAGGCAGCUCCAGCUUAUCUCCAGUUUGUCUUCCCAGGAAUGCUUGUAAGAGAAGUGUCCAUUCGUACAAUAGGAGCGACUGUUCAAAGGCUGGUAGGAGAAGAAAAGAGAACUGCAAGAAGUAAUCCUCGGAGCAGAUUUCUUACUGGAGUCGCUGCGGCUUUGGCCCCUUUGAUAGGAAAACUGGCAACAUCCUUCUGCAAGAAGAUGGAGAUGUCAGCUUUCAGACCCCCACGUGCCACAGGAUGACAGUGUGCUCCUGCCUGCCCCCAACCUCCUCCUUUGGCCUGGUCGUUAUACCCAAGGCCUCGCUCAAGACUAACAGCACUUUCCUAAUAAAUAGUAUCACCGUGUCA